UACGUAGGGGGCUAGCGUUGUCCGGAUUUAUUGGGCGUAAAGAGCGUGUAGGCGGCCAGGUAGGUCUGGUGUGAAAACUCGAGGCUUAACCUCGAGAUGUCAUCGGAAACCAUUUGGCUAGAGUCCGGAAGAGGAGAGUGGAAUUCCUGGUGUAGCGGUGAAAUGCGCAGAUAUCAGGAAGAACACCCGUGGCGAAAGCGGCUCUCUGGGACGGUACUGACGCUGAGACGCGAAAGCGUGGGGAGCGAACAGG
rnacentral:rRNA from 1 species